rnacentral:rRNA from 1 species
GACAGAGGGUGCAAACGUUGUUCGGAAUUACUGGGCGUAAAGCGCGUGUAGGCGGCCUCGCAAGUCGGGUGUGAAAGCCCUGGGCUCAACCCAGGAAGUGCACUCGAUACUGCAAGGCUUGAGUUCCGGAGAGGAAAGCGGAAUUCCUGGUGUAGCGGUGGAAUGUGUAGAUAUCAGGAAGAACAUCGGUGGCGAAGGCGGCUUGCUGGGCCAUCACUGACGCUGAGACACGAAAGCGUGGGGAGCAAACGGG